GGAAUUGCCUCAGCUCAGAGGUAGAGCGUUUGCUUUGCUUGCAAAAGGUCCCGGGUUGUGCAAUUUGCAGCAUUUCCA